CGGCGGGCAUGGAGGAGGCAGUGAAAGUUCCCGCUGGAGUGAGUGACAGUGUGUGACAGAAUGUGUGACACUCUACGGAGAAUAAAGUGACAGAGGAACAGUAUAGUGUGUCCCCAGAGGUAUGUGCUUACACGAGGGAGAGGAGAGACUGGCACAAACAACCUGUGUGAUUCUCUCUAUUCCUACAGCGAGGGAGUCCGAUUUCACGGCAAGGGAGGGCGCUCAAUGCACACCCAAAAGCGACGCGAGGUGGGGGAAGUUUCAAUACCACUACAAGAGAGUUCGAUCGUACAACAAGAGCUCGGAUCCCACAUCGGGCAGCGGCGUUAUCGAGACACAGCCGAGCAGCGAUAGAGGCGACGCUGAUAUAUGGACCUGGAGGAUCUUUUCCCGGCUUGAACAGGAAGAAGUUACAAGGCGUCAGAUCCGGGCUGCGGGCUGGCCAUUCGUGCGUACCACGUCUUCUGACAUUUCCAAAUAUCAUCUGCCGAGUAGAUACCAGUUGAAGUGUCUGUAAAAAGUCAAAAUGAAGCUGUAUGCUGUCACCUGUGCACCACAGACCGCACUCCCUCACCCCACGCCCCCUGCCACCGUGAUCUUGGCGGAGACCAUCGUGACGACUCCCCAUCACCCGCAGGCGCCAAUGUGAUCAUUUCGCGCCCUUCUGGCACCAGAAGGGAGGAGGUGCCAGGCUGAGGGUGUCCGUCAAUGCCCUCUUGCUUGACGCAAUAAUGAAGUGUCAUGUUGGUGUCACCACGCUGUGAGAUUGCUUGUUUGCAUUGCAGCCAUA